AGCAGGGGCGGGGCCACGUGUGGCGUAGGGGCGUGGCUAAGAGCGGAGGCGGCGCCACCGGCCGAGGGACCGGCGCUGAGGCCGGGUCUCCGCCUCAGGGAUGCGAGCGGCAGAGCGGGCGGCGGGAGAGGACCGCGAGGUAGAGGAGGUGCGGCUUCAGGCAAGUGAAGGGCAGGUGGCCCAGCCGCAAUGCCUUCAGAGCUUCCCGGUCCAGGUUUUCAAAUGUUUCUUUGAAAACUGGACACCCCUAAGACACCAAACGGACCUACUAAGAAGAUGGAGCAUAAUCAUUUUCUUCACUUGAUAUACAAAGUUUGAGCUAAAGAAGCCAGCAACCUGGAUACACCAAUGGGUACAAAAGAGCCCCAACAAAAGCUUGCUCCCUCUAGUCAGCAAAGUAUGAAGACUUCAAGGUAGGAGAACUUGUUUCUAGUCCUGGCUUUGACAUUAACAAAUUGCAACUUGGUAGACACUCUCUCCAGCUCUUCAUUAUCAGCUAAUAGCCAAGUCCAGCAUUAUGAUUCUAAAUUGGAUGAAGAAAGGAGUUGUGUUUAAAGCAGUUUUGCUUAAAAUAGAAAUAAUUGCACACUGGAGAAUAUUUGAAAUUAAAGAAAUGCAUUU